rnacentral:rRNA from 1 species
UACAGAGGCCUCGAGCGUUAGGCGGAAUCACUGGGCGUAAAGGGUGCGUAGGCGGUCGGGUAAGUCUGAUGUGAAAUCUCACAGCUUAACUGUGAAACUGCAUUGGAUACUAUCCGGCUCGAGGAAUGGAGGGGAGACUGGAAUACUUGGUGUAGCAGUGAAAUGCGUAGAUAUCAAGAGGAACACCAGUGGCGAAGGCGAGUCCCUGGACGACUCCUGACACUGAGGCACGAAAGCUAGGGGAGCAAACAGG